UGAACGCUGGCGGUAGGCCUAACACAUGCAAGUCGAACGGUAACGGACCGCUGGGAUUCCUUCGGGAUGACCUUGGUGCCGACGAGUGGCGGACGGGUGAGUAACACGUAGGAAUCUGCCCAACAGAGGGGGACAACCCGGAGAAAUCCGGGCUAAUACCGCAUACGCCCUAUUGGGGAAAGCGGGGGAUCUUCGGACCUCGCGCUGUUGGAGGAGCCUGCGUCGGAUUAGCUUGUUGGUGAGGUAAUGGCUCACCAAGGCUACGAUCCGUAGCUGGUCUGAGAGGAUGAUCAGCCACACUGGGACUGAGACACGGCCCAGACUCCUACGGGAGGCAGCAGUGGGGAAUAUUGCACAAUGGGCGAAAGCCUGAUGCAGCCAUACCGCGUGUGUGAAGAAGGCCUUCGGGUUGUAAAGCACUUUCGUUAGGGAAGAAAGGUGCGAGGUUAAUAACCUCGUACUGUGACGGUACCUAAAUAAGA
rnacentral:rRNA from 1 species